GUCCAGGGAUGGGAAUCGAACCCACAAUGUUCCGCUUACCGGGCAGAUGCCAUGUCCUCUAGGCUACCCUGGA
rnacentral:tRNA from 1 species